GUUUUUCCUUUUUAUUGAAUAGAAAUUAUUUACUUCUACCCAUUAUUUUUUUUUUUCAAGAGAUAAAAUAUUCAUCUCGUAGAGGAAAAAUUACAUAAUUUGAGUUUUAAGCACAAAACAUCGUAGUGCAGCCUAAAAAAUAAAAAAUAAAAACCCUAGCUUUAUCUUAUUGUCUUAGUCCAUAAGAAAAAGACCCAAAUUUCCAAGCCUAAACUAAACCCAGACUACGUGCUGGAUCCUUCACCCGAAUCAUCAACCCGGAAUCACACAAGCAGCUACUACCAAAUCGCCGACCAAAACAGACCAUUCAAUUUGGCCAUAUAGAAAGAUAACAGCCAUUCUACAAAGCUAAACCCAGAGAGUUGCACCAAGAAUCUACCGACACUAGGGACAUAGGGAACAAGAGAGAUCAAAGCCAUGGGAGCCUAACAAAACCAGAGAUCGUGGUUCUAGCGAAGCAGCAAUCGCACGUCCAUUCACAAUGGGCGACGAAGACUUAGAUCAUCCAGUGUCUCACUCGCACCAUACCUCAUAUGAAACCAACGAUUGAAGUUCAGAUUUCUCAUGCCUUUAGCUGGAUGAGACACAAGCAGAGAAAUGGCAGUCUUCAAAGAUCGGCCCUCCACCUGCAAGGUCAUAAAACCUUCCCGACAGUGAGGAAGGGAUAAUCUAGGCAAGGAGGAAGAAGGUCAUCCCCUACUCGGGAAGGGCAGAGUCCCGAUAGAAACAAAAACUCUAGGUCUCAGAAGACAAAGAACCCAAGAGAGAAAAGAGAAAACAUUAAAUCUAGUUGAGAAUUGAGAUAAGCUACUCAGAUGGGGUUUUGUGAAAUCCCUUUAUUUAAAUGAUAAAGGGAUUUUGUUUGUUUUAAGACACCAUUCGAUUUCCCACAAUAUUAAAUAAGGAAAUUCUACAAACCCAUAAAAUUAAAAAUCCAUAAAAGUUUUAUAGUUUCUAAGGCCUCAAACCCAAACAUUGCGAGAGUUACUUAUUCUUCGUUCAUUGUUCAACUAAAGUGACUGGUCACAAGAAUUUUCAAAAAUAAAGUAAGCCUUCAUAAUUUAUAAUAACAUCAAAGUUCAGAAUUGGUAACAACCAUGCAUAGCAUAUGGACACUAGCUUCUCUCAAAAAUUAAUCAACAUUAUCUUCUUAACUACCAAUUCAAGUUCUGAUAGUUGCAAAUGGCAAGGAUGACGUAUCAAAAUAAACAAUACACAACAACAACAGCUUCUUCUGACAAAUGCUAAAUCCCAUUAAUGAUCAAACAAAGCACAAAUUCAUCUGAGAUACAUUCACUGAAAUUUGUUUAGACCUGCCUAGGCAAGGAAAUCAACUCAAAACCAGUUUAGAUGCUCUGCAAAUUUCAAUUGUAUGAUGAACUCCUAAACUUAGAAAAAGGGCUAUACCCUACCGAAUCUAUCCAAUAAUUACAAUACCACAUGAUAAAUUGGGGAAGAACCUCUCAUAAUCUACAAGUAUCAAAAACCAUAUGUGGCAAUAUAAUAUAAAUAUAAACAAAUAAAGAAUGCUGAUUCUAAUUGAAAGAACAAUACGUGUGAAACUCACUUGGACACCUGGUUAACGGGGGAUUCCAAGUUUGCUUGCAACUCCUGGCACUGUCAGCUUCACAAAGCCGCCAUGUUUGUGCUCCAUCCCCAAAACAAGAAUCCCCAAAUAACAAUCCAGCCACUUUAUUUACUAUCUUGCACACACAGCAUUAAGCAGCACAUGAGCCAACAUAAGGUCUACAAAAUACUGGUGUCCGAUUUCACCAUCUCUCCACUUCAUCUUCGCUGGAGCUCUGCCAUAAUGCACCCCAUCGUUGCAACGAUUGUCAAAAUGCCAAGGAAAAGUCAUAUCAAAAUUAUCAAUCACCCCAGAAAGCAGUUGGGCUCGCCUAAAUUUAUCCAACACCACCCAGUUAAAUGCCUCCAUCUUGUUGGGAUUAAAUGCUAGUGCCCUAGCAUACCCACCAGUUGCUAUGGUGGUACGAUAAAAGAUUUGAGGAACUAUUAAUCCUCUUUGCUUCACAGAAUCAGUAACUUCUUUCCAAAAUGAAACUGCAUAAUCAACUCCAGCUGAAAAUUGUCUGAUAUUAGACCAAAAUACGCCAUCAUGUAAACCAGAAUUCAUGAUUAUAGUGUCUGGCACAGUGUCUUCCGAGAAGUACUUCUUCAACAAAUUUCUAAAUCCUUCAUCCUUCAAAGAAUUGAAUCCUUGGUAAUUCUGUGUCUCAUUCCAAUGACCAUUGAAAAUGCUGGUAAUUCGAACUGAUUGAGAUGCAUCUUUUGGGUUUGAAAAAUUCAUAUCAAACCGUCUAGGAACAGAUUUUAUUUCAGACAAAUCCAAGACAAAAUUGAGCAUGUUUCUUAUAGUAUCAACAUGAUUGGAAUCGCCCCAAAAGAAAAUCCACCUAUCCUUCAGGCAAUUCCAAGCAGAAUCAGCUGAAAACAGCCUGAAGGAACACUGACUAGAAUAAACCCAACCAUUACUCUCUAACAAGCCUAAGGAACCAUCACACCAUGGACUUUGGCAUGGAAAAUAUGGUUGCAGGCACCGAUACCGCCCAUCAUUACUGAUUUCACAAUCAUCAUUCUUUCCAUGCCUUGUCCACCUCCCUACCCAAAGAUCUCUAGUGAAAUCAGAUUUUUCACAAACUUGUAAUUGUGGCAACUGAUAAUGAGCUUUCACAAACCUGAUUUGAACCUUACGCAAUUCUUUAUCAUAGACAAAUCUUGAUGGCGAAAAUUUUAGACCCUCAAAAUGCCUGAAAAGCAAAAUAACAGUAAGAUUAUAGUCACCAGCAAAAUCAGGAUGAACUUGAAGCGAAAUCGAGUAGGACCCAUUUCCAAAAUCUUUGAUUAAAGGCCGAGACUUCCAUGCCUCCCCCGAAAGAUCAGCCUCAAAGUAAUCCCCACCUAAACAGCGAGGAUUCUUGGACUCAUCCACUGCUUGGAAAAUAAAUUCAUGACUAUUCCCAGCGGUGAGCUCAAUCGAAUCGUGGCCGUCCAAUCCAGGAAUCACAAUGUCCACCGCACGAGAGUCCCUGCAAGGCUCACCUCCAGGAGCAAGCCACUUAGAAAGAAGAUUUGAAGUCAAACGUGGAUCUAAUUCGGUUGAUACCCACUUUACAAUCGCUUCUGAUUCGUACUCCUUCAGCUUCUCCAGAAACCCAUCCGAAGAAUUCUGAGCAGAAACGUUAUUAUCAUCUGAAGUGAAUUUUGGGUUCAAAUCAGUUGAUACCCACUUUCCUUUAGCUUCUUCUGAUUCUUUCUCAGUUGGCUUAUCCAGAAACGCAUCUGAAUAAUUCUGAGCAGAGACAUUGUUAUCAUCGUUGUUCAGAAUACUGUAAUUGGGAGGACUGCUCCUGCUAGUGGUACUGUUCUGGGUAUUGUUGUGCUGAGGCAACGGGAAAUAGGUGGUGUUAAAGUUGUUAGUGAAAUUUUGAUGGAUUUCUUGGGCUAGAUUUGUGGUUUUUGUGGGCUGUGCGUUAAAUCUCCUGCUUAGAAACUCUUGCCUGAACCUCCAAGAUUCAAUAAAAUUCUUUAUACUGCACCCAUCUAUGCUCCAAACACCAACCAUGCCAACAAAAACCAGAGCUGUUAGUAUAUGAAACCGCCAUUGAACCAACGGACUUGACCGCAAGAGCCAUGAUGGGUUUGUGGAUGGUGGUGAGCUUACCCCUUUCUCAGCCAUACCUAAUGGGCAUAAGCCCUUGUGAAUUCAAAGUAUCUCUGCUGAUCAAGGAAGAAGGAAAAUGCUGUUGGAGAUGUCAAAUACUAUUUAGCUUUUGCUUUUCUCCGUUCUCCUCUGCUCGGUCCACACGAAAAAAGAAGAGAACUUUCUGUAGCUAUAGAAAACAAAAAUCAUUCUUUCCUCGAAUCUAUCGACAAUCCAUAAAGUACAAAACAGAGAAAAAUCAAUGCGAAUUCAUUGCGUUUCUAUACUUUUCUUUAAAAGUGUUGAAAAUAUUUCUGCGUUUACAUAUAUAGAAAUUAACAAGUUCAGUCCCCGUGUUUCUCUGAACUGAAUGACUGAAACCAAAGAAAAGAUAUCCCACAAACACACGGAUUUAGAAUUUCUCUGCUCCUUAACCAGGUGAAAAUUGUUUAUUAUAUUUUCUCUUACAAUAAGGUUGGUUUAAUUUUUUUAAUAUAAUUAAUUAUAAUUAUAAUUUAAAUUUCAAAAUUUAUAUUUUAG
rnacentral:misc_RNA from 1 species